UACGUAGGGUGCAAGCGUUAAUCGGAAUUACUGGGCGUAAAGCGUGCGCAGGCGGUUAUGUAAGACAGAUGUGAAAUCCCCGGGCUCAACCUGGGAACUGCAUUUGUGACUGCAUAGCUAGAGUACGGUAGAGGGGGAUAGAAUUCCGCGUGUAGCAGUGAAAUGCGUAGAUAUGCGGAGGAACACCGAUGGCGAAGGCAAUCCCCUGGACCUGUACUGACGCUCAUGCACGAAAGCGUGGGGAGCAAACAGG
rnacentral:rRNA from 1 species